UACAGAGGUCCCAAGCGUUGUUCGGAUUCACUGGGCGUAAAGGGUGCGUAGGCGGUCGGAUAAGUCUGAUGUGAAAUCUUCGAGCUCAACUCGGAAACUGCAUCGGAAACUAUUCGGCUGGAGGAUUGGAGGGGAGACUGGAAUUCUCGGUGUAGCAGUGAAAUGCGUAGAUAUCGAGAGGAACACCAGUGGCGAAGGCGAGUCUCUGGACAACUCCUGACGCUGAGGCACGAAAGCUAGGGGAGCAAACAGG
rnacentral:rRNA from 1 species